ensembl:lncRNA novel transcript
GUGCUAGAAGCUCAUCUAAUGGCAUUACAAGUUUUAAAUUCACCAUAGCAGCUUCUUCCUGAAAUCAGAAAGCUUUUUUUCUGUCUGCAGCUGGAGUGCGAUGGCAUGAUCUCGGCUCACUGCAACCUCUGCCUCCCAGGUUCAAGCGUUUCUCCUGCCUCACCCUCCCAAGUAGCUGGGAUUGCAGGCAUGCACCACUGUGCCCAGGAAGCUGAGAGUGCUGAGGGCACAUCUGAAACCACUGGAGGUUGGCGACAUGGAGGUCAGAACUGAAGAAUUUGGAAGUGCUCAAAUUUUUAAAUAACCAGAUCGAGGAGCUGCCAACACAGAUCAGCAGGCUUCAAAAACUCAAACACCUGAACCUUGGCCACCCUGUGUGCACUCUAUCUAAGUGACAACGGUUUUGAAAUCCUGCCACCAGAUAUUGGGAAGCUCACAAAGUUGCAGAUAGUAACUCAGCAAUAGGGAUAAAGACCUGAUCUCACUGCUUAAGGAAAUUGGGGAGCUUACCCAGCUUAAAGAGCUCCACAUUCAGAGGAACCGCCUCACUGUUCUACGCCCAGAACUAGGCAAUGAUGGGACCUCUUCUCCUGCAUUUGUUACCCAGAUAAUUUUGCCUUUGGAGAAGAGAAGAAAAUCACAUUGGUCUGCUCGGAAUGCAACAAAACAAAGUGUUAUUGACACCAAAACCUUAUUUGCACCAAUCCAAACAGCCUAUGGGACAUAUGUCUGCAAUGCUGCACACACCUGGGGCUAGCCAGCUUAGUGCCCUACGAUAUGUGCCAAUAAUCGAUAGCAUUUUUUACUACAGUAAUUAUGAGAAGCAUAGUAUUUUCUAGCAUGCUUGUGAAGAGUGGAAACAAAUAUUAAUCCCCUUCAGAGAGUAAAGGACAUUAUGAAUUGAGAAUUUCCUCCCAAUUUAUUCUCCAGAAUGAACAGAAUUAACAGUGAGUGGAUGUACGUCCAAAAUUUCUUCUGUUAUAUCUCUUAAUCCUUUUCCUGCGGACAUCGAGAAACUAAAGAAAAAUAACUUUCUUUACUGAGGCAGGCAAGAAGGAAAUCCAGUAUUCUUUGUUUGAUCAAUUAAGUCUCUGUAAGUGUCUCAUUUAUCUUCUCUUUUGUUAUUGUCACUCUGUCAACUGGUUCCCAAUUAUUUUAUCCAGAGGUUUAAAACUUUUUUAAAUGUAAACAGUAGAGAAUAGAGGUUAAGUGCUGCACUCUUCAUCACUAGGCUUGGGUUCAAACCUCACUCUCCCACUCCCUUGUUCUGUGACCUUCAGAUACUGAUAUGGUUUGAAAGGAAAGGAAAGGAAAAAACAGAUCAAAAUGUUUCAAUAAUCAUGAACGUAUAUGUAUCUGAUAAUGUACCCUUUAUUUAUGCUCAAUGAGAUUUAACAUGUUCAUCUCAGAAAGGGAUAGAUCAAGCUGCAAAAAGUUUGCAUACAUAGAAGAUCUAAAUAGCAUGACUAACAAGUUUAAAAUAUUAAUGUAGAAUCAUAAAAAUAUAAUUUUUUCAAGCACACAUAUAAUAUUUGUAAAAAUUGACCAGGUACAAAUCACAUAGUAAUUCUCAAUAAAUUUU